UACGAAGGGGGCUAGCGUUGCUCGGAAUCACUGGGCGUAAAGGGUGCGUAGGCGGGUCUUUAAGUCAGGGGUGAAAUCCUGGAGCUCAACUCCAGAACUGCCUUUGAUACUGGGGAUCUCGAGUCCGGGAGAGGUGAGUGGAACUGCGAGUGUAGAGGUGAAAUUCGUAGAUAUUCGCAAGAACACCAGUGGCGAAGGCGGCUCA
rnacentral:rRNA from 1 species